AUUGAACGCUGGCGGCAGGCCUAACACAUGCAAGUCGAACGGUAACAGGAAGAAGCUUGCUUCUUUGCUGACGAGUGGCGGACGGGUGAGUAAUGUCUGGGAAACUGCCUGAUGGAGGGGGAUAACUACUGGAAACGGUAGCUAAUACCGCAUAACGUCGCAAGACCAAAGAGGGGUACCUUCGGGCUUCUUGCCAUCGGAUGUGCCCAGAUGGGAUUAGCUAGUAGGUGGGGUAACGGCCCACCUAGGCGACGAUCCCUAGCUGGUCUGAGAGGAUGACCAGCCACACUGGAACUGAGACACGGUCCAGACUCCUACGGGAGGCAGCAGUGGGGAAUAUUGCACAAUGGGCGCAAGCCUGAUGCAGCCAUGCCGCGUGUAUGAAGAAGGCCUUCGGGUUGUAAAGUACUUUCAGCGGGGAGGAAGGGAGUAAAGUUAAUACCUUUGCUCAUUGACGUUACUCGCAGAAGAAGCACCGGCUAACUCCGUG
rnacentral:rRNA from 1 species